rnacentral:rRNA from 1 species
UACGUAGGGGGCGAGCGUUGUCCGGAUUUAUUGGGCGUAAAGAGCGUGUAGGCGGCCAGGUAGGUCCGUUGUGAAAACUCGAGGCUCAACCUCGAGACGUCGAUGGAAACCAUCUGGCUAGAGUCCGGAAGAGGAGAGUGGAAUUCCUGGUGUAGCGGUGAAAUGCGCAGAUAUCAGGAGGAACACCCGUGGCGAAAGCGGCUCUCUGGGACGGUACUGACGCUGAGACGCGAAAGCGUGGGGAGCAAACAGG